AAAAGAUGCUAUUUCAACAUUUUUUCAAAUGAAACUUAAGAUGUGCAUUCAACAACAAAUUCCGGUAAAUGAUUCCAUUCUUCGCUCGUAAGUGGAAAAAAUGAUUUCUGAAAGAUAUUAGUGCGGGCAAAGUACGACUGGACUACUUUAGAAUGAAAAAUACGUGCCGACCUGUGUGGAGCAGGGGUAAUAUAUGUGGCAUUUGCUAAACCAGUUUGAUUAUGAAACAAUGAGUAAAAAAAUUUCAGCCUAGCGAUUUUACGGCGCACAUGGAGCGGAUCCAGUCCAAGUUGGCCUAACAUACCAGAAACUGACGACGAAGUUUUGUAGUCAGAGCAAAUAAACCGUGCAGCCAGGCGCUGAAUUCUUUCAAGUUUAUCAAUUUCCUUAUUACAGUAUGGGUCCCACACUAUGGAAGCAUACUCUAGGACUGGGCGAACGAGGGAAAGAUAAGC
rnacentral:lncRNA from 1 species